rnacentral:lncRNA from 1 species
UAGAAAUGGAUUAAGUUUUCUAUUCAGUACUUGCUCACCCAAGAAUUGAGAGAGUUUGGCUAUGAUCUAUUCAGUACUCACAGAUUUAAAUAUGGAUUCACUUAAAGAUAUUUUCUCAAGAUUCAAGAGGUAUUCCUGGUUAAUUUUAAGCAUAUUUUUCAUGAUCUAUGUGUUUAUGUUGGUUAUCUGUAUUACAUGCAAGUGAUCUUGUCUAUUUGCUUCUGCUGCAUAUGUCUGUUUUCCAAUAAUUGGCAUCACGAGCCUUGAUUGUAUCUUUAUAAAUAAUUGACAUAUAUUCAUGAGAAAAUUCACUAGAUAUGCAAAAGAGGUUAUGAAUUGUUAUUGAUGGUUUCAAUCUUAAAAUAAUUUUAAAGAUUCAUAAAAUUUAACAUGAUACAGUGAUAAUGUGGAAAACACUACUACUAAUCUAUUAGGUUUUUUUGUUAUCCGUGUUCAUGGGUGUGUAGAAGUGGCCAUCUUUUAUUUUCUGAGUGAUAAGGUGGCAGUAUUAUUUUCAUGAAACAAAGGUUUUUUUGUUUUCUCUGGAAAAAAAUGGAAGGAAUUUUCUUUUUAUAGAAAAGUUGUACUCCCUUCAUUCCAUUUUAUAUGUCAAAGUUUGAACAGGCAUGGAGUUUAAGAAAUAAGAAAAGACUGGAUGAUUUUUAUUAAACCAUUCUUUAUUAAAAAAUAUACUACUACUAUUUUUAAUUAAGUGGGUCCUUAUAAGUGGAACCAAUAAAGAUAAAUAUAAAAUUGUGUCUUCAAAUAGUUAUCAAAAAGAGAAAAGAUAAUAUCUUGAACUCUCAGGUGUAUUAAUAAAGAGAAACUAUUUUGGUAAAGAGGGUUCAUCCAUAUAAUUACCAUGAUUAAAUAGUAAUGAAUUAUUAAGUUUAUGUGUUGGUUUAGACCUUCCUCCCGAUUGGAUGAAUUUAGUACAAGUCAGUAUGUAUUUAAUUACUCGUUUCAUAAUAUGUAUCAACUCUCCUAAACUAGGUAAUAUAUUAAUGGAUCAAUGUAACUAGAGUUAAGUUUUCACUUAAACUAAUGUCAUACUCUCCAUUUGAGUUAGGUCUGUAAAAACUUAUGGAGUGAAUAAUCGAUCAUUAUAUAUGUGUAUUGAAUGAGUAGUUCUCCAAUCCCAUCGAUUAACUAUUUAAGAAGCAUGAGUAUAUUUAUAUGAUGAGUUUGAAUUUAACUAUCCAAUAUUUAUAUGACUGUGUUAUUGAUCUAUUGAAAUGUUUUUCAAUCUCAGAUUCAAUAUGUCUCAUUUUACCUCCUUUAGCACUAAUUUGAGUCAAAAUAAACUUGAAAGUCAUAAAUUUAGUGAGAAAAGUAUUAUUUAUAAAUCGAAAGGUGGAAAGAAGAAGAAAAAGACUCAUAAUGCUAAGAAAGUUAUAUAGAUCUAAGUGGCGGCGUGAUAAAGCCUAACGGCAAGUGUUUUCAUUGCAAGAUGUUAGGCCAUUGGAAAACACAUUAUCCAAUUUUUCUAGCCCGGAAGAAAAAUAAGCUAGAUUCACUUUCACUUAUCAUUUAAACGUGUUUAACGGUUGUUUCCACCAUAUAAUGGUGUGUAGAUUUAGGAUCCACCGAUCAUAUCUCCAGUACUUUGUGUGGUUUUAAGAAACGCGUAAGUUGAAUAGAGGUGAAGUUAGUAUUUUUAAGGAUGAUGGUUUAGUAUCUCCAACUUUAGCAUUAUUAAAUAUUAGUAUUUCAUUUAGUAAUGGUAGAGUUUUAAUUCUAAAAAAAUGCAUUAUAUGCACCUGCUGUUACAAGAAAUCUUAUUUCAAUUUCUACAAGCUUUGAGAUAUAAUUAUGAUGUUAAUUUUCUGAUAAUGAUUGUGUUAUAAGCUAUAAUAAAUAUUUUAUCUCUGUUGUAACAUUGAUUGAUGAUCUUUUUAUUAUUAAUGUCUCUCCUGCACUGCAACAAACUAUUGAACUAAAUAAUGUUAACCUUUAAGUAAAAGAAAAUAUCCCUCUAUAUUUAAUAAGACUUAUUUAUAGCAUAUGCAUUUAUGUCACAUAAAUCUAGACAGGAUAUUGAGGUCGAGGUUAGUUCAGGAUAGACCUUUAGCUUCAUUAAAAGUGGAGGCACUACCAGCAUAUGAAUCUUGUUUAGAAGGAAAAAUAACUAAGAGACUUUUUCCCUCAAAAGGAAAAAAAGCAUAUGAUUAAUUAGAGUUAAUUAAUUUUGAUUCUUGCAGUCCAAUGAACGUUCAAGCAAGAGGUGAUUAUGAGUAUUUUGAGACUUUUAUUAAUGAUUACUCAAAAUAAGAAUAUGAUUAUUUGUUGCACCGUAAGUCUAAAUACUUUGAAAAAUUUAAAGAAUUUAAGACAGAAAUGGAAAAAUGACAUGAGAAAUGUAUCAAGUUUCAAAGAUCUGAUUGUGGUGGUCAAUACCUUUCCAAUGAGUUCAUUAGUUACUUAUCAGAAUAAGAAAUUACAUCACAAAUGCCUGCAACUAGAACUCUACAAGAGAAUGGUGUAGCAGAAACAAGAAAUAGGAUUCUUUUAGAAAUGAUUAGAUAUAUAUGAGUUACUCUGAUUUGCCUUCUUUAUUUUGGAGUUAUGCAUUAGAAAUUGCAAACUAUAUUCUGAACUUAGUUUCUUCCGAGUUGGUACCUAUGACACCCAUAAAACUAUGGACAGUGCAUAAACCUAGUCUAAAACAUGUUUGAAUUUGGUAAUGUCCAGCACAUAUGCUGAAAGGAAAGGAGAAAAGUUGUAAGAUAGAUCAGAAGUAUCUAUUUUUGUUGGGUACCCUAAAGAAAUGAAAAGUGGUCUAUUUUACAAUCCUACAGAAAAGAAGGUUGUUGUAAGUACCAACACUAAGUUUCUAGAAAAGGAAUUUAUAACAAAUCACAUUACUUGAAGUAAACUAAUUUUACGGGAAUUAAGAAAAGAGGUAAUGAAUCAACCUACUGAUGAUAACUAACAUCAAAUUAAAACUCCAGAUGUCAGAAUUAACAUGUCAUUGUAUUUUAGUGGUGGGAGAGAUAUGAAUAGACAUAGAGUUCCACAAGUACAAGUUUCUGAAGAUCCAUUGUAUCAAAGUUGUGAGACUGCACUAGAGAAAGAAGUCAUUGAUGUCCCAACACCAUAAGGUGAUUAGGAUAACAUAGAGACUUAAAAUCCAUCAAAUGAUGUAGUUCAACCCCAAGAUCAUAAUAGUUCGAUGACCUCUAUACUGGCUCUUACAACUACAAUGCCUCAUAGUAGUGGGAGAGAGAUAAGAAAACCAUCUUGAUAUGUACUUUUGGGUAAGUCUUUUGAAAAAAUCCUUAAAUAGUUGAAUAUCGAGUCAAUAAAAUAUGACAAAGCACUAAAGGAUAAAGAUACAGAGAAAUAAGUUAAUGCUAUAAAAUUAGAAAUGGAGUCUGUGUACUCUAAGAAAGUCUAGGAUCUUGUAGAACCACCUGUAGAUAGAGUCAAACCUAUUAAAUGUAAAUGGAUCUAUAAGAUAAGAGAGAAGUAGAUAUAAAAUAGCAAACUUACAAAUCUAGGAUUUUUACAAAAAGAUUUACUCAAAAGGAAGAGAUCGAUUAUAACAAAACUUUUUCGCAGAAGAUAUGCUUAAGUCUAUUAUAAUUAUCUUAUUCAUUGCUGCUCAUUAUGAUUAUGAGAUUUGGAAAAUGAAUGUUAAGACAAUUUUCUUUACUGAAAGUCUUGAUAAGAGCAUUUUUAUCCGGCAACCAGAAAGUUUCAUUGAAAAAGGGAAAGAACACAUGUUGUGCAAGCUUAAGAGAUUAAUUUAAGGAUUAAAUCAAGCUUAAAAGACAUGGAACACUUAUUUUCACAAUGUGUUUCAGACUUUUGCUUUUAAACAAUGUCUUAAUCACUCGUGUGUGUACGAAAAAAAUAAAAUGGGGACAAAGUAGUGUUUCUAGUAUUAUAUACAGAUAAUAUCUUGCUCAUAGAAAAUAGUGUAGGCUUGUUGAAUUCAGUUAAGAAAGGAUUAUCUAGUAAUUUUGAUAUGAAAUAUUUGAAAAAAGCUACUAACAUUCAUGGGAUCAAGGUUCUACGUGAUCACAAGAAAAGAAUGUUGGGUUUAUCGCAAACUCUUUAUAUUGAUACAAUUCUUACCAGGUUCAGCAUGCAUGAUACCAAGAAAGUGUUUCUUCCAUUUAGACAUGAAAUUUCUCUUUCUAAGGAUCAAUGUCCUAAGACUGAUGAGGAGAUAGAAAACAUGAAGACAGUUUCUUAUGCAUCUACUGUGAGAAUCCUCAUGUAUGUGAGGUUGUGCAGUAGACUCAAUAUCUAUUUUAUCAUAGGCAUGAUUAGCUUAUUUGAGUAUAACCCUGAAAACCAACACUGGGUUAUAGUUAAGCGUAUAAUCAAGUACCUGAAAAGGGCUAGGGAUUACAUGCUAUUUUAUCAUUUGAAUGAGUUAGUGUCAAUAGGAUACACAGACUCAGAUUUCCAGUCUGACUAGGACUCUAGAAAGUCAACCUCUGAAAAUGCGUUUACUUUAGGAGGUGCAGUCGUUUUUGGAGUAGAAUCAAGUAAAUUUGUGUUACUAAUUUCAUCAUGAAAGUUAAAUAUAUAUCAGUCUCUGGGGUAGCUACGGAAGGAACUAUGGCUUUGAAACUUUCUCAAAGACUUGAAGGUUGUCCCUACAAUAGAAACAUCACAUAUAAUUUACUACGACAAUAGUGGUGUAGUUGCAAAUUCAAAGAAACCAUGAAUCCAUAAGAAAGAAAAAUACAGUGAGCAUAAAUAUCAUUUGAUUCGAUACAUAGUGCAAGGAGGAGAUAUAAUGAUUGUGAAGAUUGCAUAAAAAAACAACCUAGCAAACCCUUUUAUAAAAGCUUUAUUGCAGAAUUCUUUUGAAAGGCAUGCAGAAGGAUUGGGUAUUAGAGUUGUGAGUUCAUGGUAAUGAGUCUAAGUGGGAGAUUGUUAGGAUAUACUUUAAACCAUGCAGUUUUGAUGUACUAUUAUUUAUUUAUUUAUUUAUUUAAUUUUAAUAAAUCAUUGCGUUAAAUAGAUCAUUGACAUAUAUGUGUCUUUAACUUAUAUAGUAGAUGAUAUGGUGUACAGAGUUUAUGCUUAUAUACAGAAGAUUAAAUCAUCAAUUCUUCUAAGUUAAAGUUAUAGUUCAUAAUCGCAGAUGAAAAUUUGGACAAAUCAUCAGAAAGAUUGUAGCACUAGAUUAAAUGUCAUUUAUCUUGAUUACGAGGAAUGGCUCUAACUUCUCAUGCUAGUGCAUUUUAUAUCUAUUGAAUAGGAUCAAGUUGAGAUAGUUAUUUUAGACUGACUAAUGAAAACAUAUUCUCAAAACUAUUGAACGUACUAAUAUUCUCAAUCUUGAUAUAACUAUUAUAAUUUGUAUAUAUUAUUUAUCGUUUUGAUUUAUUAAAAGGUGGAUUCUUAGAUAGGUCAAUAUUCCUGGUAGAUUGGAUGAUAAAAAUAUAUAUUGGUGAAAUAAUAAGUUAGAAGAUGGAAUCCAUGUCUCGGAAUGGAGAUUGAUGAAAUGCCUUUUAUGAGAAGCUUAUAAGUUUUCAUGUGUAAAUCUGAUCGGUGGAUUUAUGAAUCCAACAUGUGAAAUAAUUUAAGUAUUGCUCUACAGAAAAUUAAUCAUUUAUUAAAUUCGUCAGUAAUAUAAUUUAUUGAUUAGUAUCUGUAAUUGUAACAUAGAGAAUUUAAGUGUUUAAUGAAAAAUUAAAAUAUAAAAAAAGAGGAGUGCAACUAUGAAUUUUUAGUGGAAUAAUUUAUAAUUUAUUAUGGUAAGAAUAAUUCAAAUUAGUAUUUUGAAUUAUUUUCAUAAUAGGGAGCCUCUAUAACUAAUUUUAUGGUCCCUGCAGUUCCCAGAUUAUACUAAAACUUGGAAUCCUUUUUUCCAUGUGAAAAUGAGAAGUCACCGUCUGUCCUUGUUCAAGUAGAAAUAGGCACGUGUUUUUAUUUUAUCCUUUGACUAGAAGAGUAUUUCUAUAAAUAGGGAUUACCCUAGCCUAGAAAUGGAAUACGUUUCCUAUUCAGCACUUGCCCAUUCGGGUAUUGAGAUAGUUCGGCUGUAAAUUUGGGAUCACUGUAAAAGACCGCAGAUGAAGACGGAUUCGCUUUAAGAUAUUUGGUCAUGCUUCAAGAGUUAUUCCUGAUUAAUUUUUAGCAUCUUUUGUAUGAUAUAUUGUGUUUAUGUUGGCUGUCUAUAUUACAGGCAAGUAAUCUUGUCUAUUUACUUCCGUUACGUAUGCCUGUUUUUAAAUAAUUGACAUCACGAUCCUUGCUUGCAUCUUUAUAAAUAACUAAAAUAUAUUCACGAAAAAAUUCACUACAUAUACAAAAGAGGUUAUGAAUUGUUAUUGAUGAUUUCUAUCCCAAAAUAAUUUUAAAGAUUCAUAAAAUUUACAUGAUACAGUGAUGACAUGGAAAACACAACUAGAAAUCUAUUAAGUUUUGUUGUUAUCCGUGUUCAUGGGUGGUAUUGCGUAGAAAUGGCCAUGUUUAAUUUCCCAAG